rnacentral:lncRNA from 1 species
GCCAAGAUGAGCUAACUUGCUGUUUACAUGUUGAGUAGUGACAGAAAGAAGAUAUUAGAAGUCUCCUUUAUCCCUGUAAUUAAGCCAGUAUGUGUCAGCAGGAGCAGAAACCUCUGUGUGGUAAAGACACUAUUACUCCUAACACCCAGGCACUUCAAGUCCCAGUCAGUGUCUUGGGCAGCCUUUGCUGGCGUUAUAUGGCUUGAUGGUACGCACAGCACAGUGCACACACGUUCAUACCCAGGCGAGGUUGCAGGAUGCAGCAUGGCUGAGUUGUACAUGAGGCUAGCUGCCUCUGCAGAUGCAUCCAAUCGGUGUUUGCCCGCUGACUACAGAGCUGUGGCUCAGUGAAGCAUUCACGCAUGCCCAGGAGCACAGAGGCAGUGUGCCUGGUGCCGGGGCAACCCACCUGAUAAAGAUGGCUUUCUCUUUACCACAGGA